GACGAACGCUGGCGGCGUGCCUAAUACAUGCAAGUCGAACGCUGAAGGAGGAGCUUGCUUCUCCGGAUGAGUUGCGAACGGGUGAGUAACGCGUAGGUAACCUGCCUGGUAGCGGGGGAUAACUAUUGGAAACGAUAGCUAAUACCGCAUAAGAGUAGAUGUUGCAUGACAUUUGCUUAAAAGGUGCAAUUGCAUCACUACCAGAUGGACCUGCGUUGUAUUAGCUAGUUGGUGAGGUAACGGCUCACCAAGGCAACGAUACAUAGCCGACCUGAGAGGGUGAUCGGCCACACUGGGACUGAGACACGGCCCAGACUCCUACGGGAGGCAGCAGUAGGGAAUCUUCGGCAAUGGACGGAAGUCUGACCGAGCAACGCCGCGUGAGUGAAGAAGGUUUUCGGAUCGUAAAGCUCUGUUGUAAGAGAAGAACGAGUGUGAGAGUGGAAAGUUCACACUGUGACGGUAUCUUACCAGAAAGGGACGGCUAACUACGUG
rnacentral:rRNA from 1 species